AUCAUAUGUAGUGCCUCCCCCUCC
rnacentral:piRNA from 1 species